UACGGGGGGAGCAAGCGUUGUUCGGAUUUACUGGGCGUAAAGGGCGCGUAGGCGGCCAGCACAAGUCAGUUGUGAAAGCUCCGAGCUCAACUCGGAAAAGCAUUGGAAACUAUCCCGCUUGAGGGUCGGAGGGGAGACUGGAAUUCUCGGUGUAGCAGUGAAAUGCGUAGAUAUCGAGAGGAACACCAGUGGCGAAGGCGAGUCUCUGGACGACUCCUGACACUGAGGCACGAAAGCUAGGGGAGCAAACAGG
rnacentral:rRNA from 1 species